rnacentral:rRNA from 1 species
GACGUAGGGCGCGAGCGUUGUCCGGAUUUAUUGGGCGUAAAGAGCUCGUAGGCGGCUCAUCGCGUCUGCCGUGAAAACCCGCAGCUCAACUGCGGGCUUGCGGUUGAUACGGGUGGGCUGGAGUUCGGUAGGGGAGACUGGAAUUCCUGGUGUAGCGGUGAAAUGCGCAGAUAUCAGGAGGAACACCGAUGGCGAAGGCAGGUCUCUGGGCCGAUACUGACGCUGAGGAGCGAAAGCGUGGGGAGCGAACAGG